GGGCGAGUGGCCGAGUGGUUAAAGGCGACAGAUUGUAAAUCUGUUGAAUUUAUUCUACGUAGGUUCGAAUCCUACCUCUCCCA
rnacentral:tRNA from 1 species